AAUCUUGGAAAAACAAAAAUAAAAGAUAAUAUUAAUAAACUUAUGAUGGGUUUGGAAGUUAAAGGGUUUUUAAAAAGCUCUGUCUACAGAAGAGGACAUGGAGCCACAGGGCCGCACCCCCACUCACGUCGGAAGUGAAGAUGGAUGGCUUCCCGCUCUCCAGCAUCUCUUCUAGCUCGUCGUCUGUGGUGGUUCUCCCAGCUGAAAGACCCGCAACCACAGCCCCACUCAGAAUGCAGCACAAUUUAAAAACAAAGCCAUUUGCAACCAUAAGUUAGCAACUACAAUCAUAGUUGUUAGCAUUUUUCAGUAAUUUUUUUAACCUUUUCUUAAGCAGAUAUUGACAAUGAGAAGUGAACCUAAGAUUGAGGAGCAAGAAGAAAUAAAAAUACUCCGAGAAACUUUGUAAAUGUUAUAAACAAUAAAAUUUCAUUUUAAUAUUAGUGAGAAACAACUGCAGAAAGGAAAUCGGUAAACAAUGUCUCGGCACACUGGUUUCCCUAAGAGUUUAACUCCGCCUCAUGUAAAAGGGGGUUGAGCUGAAUGUAGCAUGUAUUAAAUGAGGAUCAAUAAAGUCCACGUAAUGAGAGUCAGAUGCCUGAACACUUUCCAUGUUUGGAAGUUAAUGCUUUCCUUUUGAGUUAAAUGUGUAAUGACUUCGAAGAAACAUGUACACAGGUUUUGGAAACCUAAUUGUUAAUUACUAUUUUUCAUAGUUUGUGCCACAGAAGACAAAAGUAAAUGAAUAAAUGUCAUAAUUCAAAUGUCAUCUAAUAAGCAGCAUUAUUCAUAAUUGCCAAAAAGUGGAAACAACGCAAACGUCCGUCCCCCGAUGCCUGAAGGAGCUAACUGCGGUCUAGCUGCACACUGACAUACGACUCAGCCACAAAAACAAAGGACGCUUUUGGUUUUUGUCGCUUUGUUUUUUGAGACAGGGUCUCACUCUGUCGCCCAGCCUGGAGUGCAGGGGCACCGUCGCAGCUCACUGCAACCUCUUCCUCCCGGGUUCAAGCAAUUCUCAUGCCUCUGACCCCUGAGUGGUGGGGACUACACGCGUGCGUCACCACGCCCGGCUAAUUUUUGUAUUUUUAGUAGAGGUGGGGUUUCACCAUUUUGGCCAGGCUGGUCUCGAACUCCUGACCUCAAGUGAUCUGCCCACCUCAGCCUCCCAAAGUGCUCGGAUUGCAGGUGUGAGCCACCGUACCCAGCCCUUUUUAUUUUUUUAACAAAGAUACGGUCUCACUCUGUCACCCAGACUGGAGUGUAGUGGUGCAAUCUCAGCUCACUGCCGCUUUGACCUCCUAGGCUCAAGCAAUCCUCCUGCUCCAGCCUCCCAAGUGACUGUGAUUAUAGGCACACACCCAUGCCUGGUUUAUUUUUAUUUUUUUUUACAGAGAUGGGGUUUUGCUAUGUUGUCAAGCUGGUCUUGAACUCCUGGCCUCAAGCGAUCCUUCCACCUUGGCUUCCCAACCAACACGCUGGGAUUAGUAUACAUGUGAGCCACCACACCCUGCCCACCCCAUGGUGAAACCUUGGAAAAACUGUGUUACAGGAAAGAAGUCAGUCACAGAACACAUAGUGUAUAAUUCCAUUUAUAUGAAACAUCCAAAAUGGGAAAAUGUACAGGAGUAAAAAGUAGAAUGCAGUUGUCUUGGGCUAGGAGAGGAAAUGGGGAAUGACUGGUGGUGGGUGUGAAGUUUCUUUUUGGGUUGAUAAAAGUGUUUUAAAUUGAUUGUGUGUGGAAAUACACCAAAAACCACUGAAUUAAUUGUAUGCUCCAAAUAUCAUUCACAUAUUAAGAGAUUUACUUCUCAAUAAAGUUGUUGAGAUGUCAUUUAAUGAAAAAAGUUUUAAAGUUAGUAAAUUGCAAAAUUUGUUUACUUACACUAUUUUUUGGGAGGUAAUUCUCAAUCAUUUAAAAAUCUAUUUGAGAGCACACAUGGUGGUUUACAUAAUACACCUCUUAUACAUUGUACUAUCUUCCUAAAAUCUGAAAAAUUCUGAACUCUGAAACACAUACAGCCCCAACCAUUCCAGAGAAAGCACUGUGGACCUAUGUAACAUGCCCUGGUCCAAGAAGAAACUCACUUGCCAUUUGAAGAAACAAAGCAUACAGCACAGGAAAAGAUAUCCUGUGAUACAAGGUAAGAAACCUGCCUGAUGACAGGGCUGACGGAAGGAAGAAAGAAAGGGGACAAAAUGGUUUUAGGUGCAAGGAUUUGGAGAAGACCACUGUAUGAAGACAGCCCGCUGUGUGGCCAGAGUGACGCCAUCCUGAAGCAAAACCACCGUGAUGACCGAUGCUCGACUCGUGCAUGCCAAGCUGUUCUGCAAUGAGGUCUGAAGACGAUGCCUCCGGCACAGGCAACCUCUCAUCAAGAUGCUCAUCCAGCCUGACCAGUGGUCCCAAGUGUUGUCAAGCAAGUCAGAAGACAGGGCCGGCUGCACACGUUCUACCCUGAAAGCCUGCUGUAUAAAGAACACUUUCUGAGGGCAGGCGGCUGUGGGGUCCACCGUCUCUGUCUCUCGGGGGCUUCUGUUCGUACGUCCCUAGCCAAUGUUUCCUUCGAGAAACUGGAUUUGUUAGCCUCUUUCUUUGGCGUCUCAGCUCGCUCAGCCUUUGGGGGUGAGUUUGCAUAGACCUGCUCACUUCGGAAUAGCCACAUGGAGGGUUUAGAAUUUAACAGACUUAAAGGAAUUACUAAAAAAAACUCCCAACACGUAUAUGAUACUUCAUUGCUUAUAAGACACUUUCACAAACAGUACUGCAUUCGAUAGAGUAUGAUUGCAAGAGAAGAAACUGGAAAUGAAUUCUGUGGGCUGAGAUAGAAUAAUGUGGGAAAGAGAGAAGAGACUUAGGCGAUCUGAUCACGCCACCGGAUUCACAUGGGGAGUGAAGACAGGAUGGACCUGCAGGAGAGAUGGUGCGGGGCCUUCAAGCCCAGGCUGGGGAACUCUGUGCUAGAAAAGCGCUCACCACAGAGUCCCAGAGCAUAAAUCCUCACAGUGCAACCGGCUGCCUGUAAUGAUGACUUUCACUUUAAAAAGUACUAACAGAUCCCUGAAGUCAAAGUGGUUUGUAAAAACUUUUUCAUAGAAAAGCAGUCUAGUCGACAUCAUGAUUGAGCAUUUCUGCCAGGAUGGAGCAACAGGGACCGUAUUUUCCCUGCCACUUGAAAUAACCACAAACCCACCAAAAUCUACAAAACGAUUUCCAAGACACUGAGCAUCAGGCCACACACUGAUUCCCAACAGAUGGAAACAAGCCAGGUGAGCCUGCUGCUGCCCUCAGACGGAACUCUCGUGUCAGCCACAGAGCAGAAAGGGCCCAGGUGGAGCCCAGGGGAAGUCCUAAGGCAAAGGCACAGAGCUCAGGGGAGACCAAGGCAACUGGAUUUGCAAGAUGGAGUAUGAGAGAUGAGAGAGAUGCAGAGAGCGAGCUGCACAGACCCCGCAUGCUCACUGGAGUGCUGACCAGCAUGCCAGAGGGAACACGCUGCCAGGCAGACGAGGGUGCCAUGAGGUUCACGGCCAUCAGAGCAGGUGCUCAGAAGGGUCUUACCUCAGGAGUGAGGAAUGACAGGCCCUCAAAUAAAGCUGCUCUGCUCCCUCUAAAUGCAAGAUCCCAAAGGCUAAACCAUGCUCAUGUGAUUUAACUACAUUCUAAAACAAAGCCCAAGGAGAUUUACAAAAAUACUCAAAAUACAGAAAUACUCAGCACCCAACAAAGUAACGUUCACAAUGUCUGGCACACACUCGAAACUUACCAGGCUCGCAAAGAAGCAGGAAAACACAAGCCACAGAAAGGAAGGAAAUCAACCAACCAGAGCAGACAGGACACUGGAGUUGGCAGACAAAGACGGUUCAAGUUACUACAAGUGCGUCCCAGUUGUACAGUGGGGAGCAACACAGCAGACAUGUAAAACACCCAGCAGAACUAGCAACAGAAACCAGUGUCUCCGAUGAAACAUACACCAGAGGAGGUUAAAGGCAGAUCAGACAAGCAAGAGAAACUGACCAAAACCAAACACACUGGAAAAGAGUAUCUAAAACAUGAGGAGCCUCGCUGAGCUGUGGGACAAGGUCAAGCGGCCUGGCGGGCAUAUGACAACAUUCUCUGAGGGGGAUGUGCGGCGUUGGGAGCCGGGAUGGGCCUGAGGCUUCAUCUGACCUGCGAGCUGACACGCUGGCCUGCCAGGGCUCCGUGGGGGCCGGCAGAAGGUCCAAGGCCCCAGGUCAGGGACAAAGGGAUUUCCUACUCACAGCACAGCAGGCAACCUGAGGCUCAUGAGCAGCUGUCCACGGCCCCCAGUCUCAUGGGGAGAGGCAGAGCAGCUGCAGUGGGACGUCCUCACAGUGGGUUUGUGUCACAGCUGAAGGACCCGAGCUUGGGAACCCCAAUCUUUCACAAUGGGGAGUCUACAAACCUGACCAACCUUUAUCCCUGAAACAGACCCGUCUGUCCCCGAAGAAGGCGCCAUCUCCACUGCCACAGCCAACUGUCCCCAUAGACACCCCUGAAAAGAGUCUGGGGCAAUAGGGCCGCUGCCUCUGCUCACAGACAAGGAGAGAUGUGAGGAGCCAUGAAGAUGCCCCCGAACCAGGGCAGGGCGGGACUGAGGACACAGAAACACUCAAAGAGGAAAUGACUGAGCACUCUCCCAAUCUCCCUGAAACUCUAAAAGCAACAGCAAUGAGCAAGGUAAACCCCACCGCUUAGGACUUCCUGAAGACAGGAAGAACAGGUUUGCCUGACUCACGGCAUAGGAAGCUACGAGUGGUCUUUGGGUUUUACACUAUUGGUGAAAAUAGACAUGGAUUUCCUUUUCUGAAGUUAAAGUCAUUUGAAGUGAGACCUUAAGGGAGAAAAACAUGAUUUUAACAAAGACGGAGUCUCCAUUACUCACUUAUCUCCAGCUGGCGCUGGAUGCGGCCUUUGCUCCGCUCCCGAAACAGAGUCUGUGCCUCAUUGUACUCCGCCAUGGCUUCCACAAACUUCCGAGACAGCACCGAAUGCUAACAACACAGGAAAACUACAUUCGUAUCUGAGGGCCAUGCCUUCUACUGAAAGUGACAUGCAAGACAUGCAUUUUGGAAACUCAAACUACAUGUUAUUCUGCUCCUGCAAAUGGAAAAUGACAAUGGCAAAGUCCCCAUGGCAGCAUCUGUGCUAAGAACUUUGCAUGCAUGAUCUUACCUAAUUUUUACAAGACCCCUACUAUGCCGGUCACAACCCUACUUAAAGAAAACCAUGACUUUGAGGUCAUUAGCCCAAGGUCACAGGCUUUUCUGAUAAACACAGAUCAGCACUGGGACCCAGGCAGGUGGACCCCAGAGCCCGCGUGCUUCAUCGCCUUGUGCCCAUGAGGGGACCCAGGCAAGCGGACCCCAGAGCCCGCGUGCUUCAUCGCCUUGUGCCCAUGAGGGGACCCAGGCAGGCGGACCCCAGAGCCUGCGUGCUUCAUCGCCUUGUGCCCAUGAGGGGACCCAGGCAGGCGGACCCCAGAGCCCGCGUGCUUCAUCGCCUCGUGCCCUCGAGGCCUCAGGGCUCUGUCUUCCUCUGGGCAGUACCACAAACCACUAAAACGUGGCGGCCUUACCACAAACACUAAAAUCAUUUGGAUAAUUCCCUACUCUUUGGAAUAGAACUCUGUUGAUGGACCGAAUAGAUUUUUCUUCACAAUAAAGAGAUUUCUAUAAAUACUGUGAAAGGAAAAUAAAAUCGCAGGACCUCACACUCACUAUCCCAAAGGGACAGUUAAGCUUGGGAACUGAGUCAUGCAAAACACUGCCCUCCCUCCUCUUCUCAAACAGAUGGCUGCAGUGACAGAAGGCCGCACAUCGCCCCAGCAGCCUCCUGCACAAAGUGCUCACAAGGAAAUUCCUCGUAGGUCCCAGAAUCUUUCAGAAUCCAUAUCCCCCCCACCAAAAACUAACUCUAAAACAGAGUUCUGCAGAAUCUCACCCUGACAAUGUACAUUAGCCGCUUACCUUCACAGGUACAGGACAAAGACAAGACUAGAAGUCACCCUCGGCCCACCCUGAGAAAUGCAUGUAUAGCUCCUCCCUCACCUCAGGCUCACACUGGCCCACGUAAGAGGCGGAUCUGGGCACGGGAGGAGUGCAGAAUCGACCCCCACUCCUCUCUUCCCACAUGUGAAAUGUGAACGCAGUGAGCCCUGAGCAAAGCCUCACAGCAGUGUGGCCACCCCGCUGCCUACCCCCACUUUUUCUCUUUUUUUUCCCCUUUCCUCCUUCCUCUCCUGCCCGCUCUUUCCCCUUUAAAUACUGAAGUCCUCAAAACCCUCUUCAGGAAAGGCACAAACCACAGAUCCUACUCUAAUUUGUAUUUCUUUUCUCCAAGUGUGUCCUCAACUUUGGCAAAAUAAACCUCUGUCUCAGAUACUUUUGUUUUACAAUACUAUAUUAUUUUUGUGCAGAAAUACUAUGAGGAUAAGCAUGACAGUAAAGAUGAAAUUAUUCAGAGUCUGCAAGAAGAAAGUAAAAACACUUAUUCUGCGACAUUACUUUAAUCUAAACGAGGCUGAUAGCAAACCUGGGUUCUUCGUAUCCGAAGAUCCACUGAAGUCCGGUUCCCACUCUCAUCCUGAUCAAAACUUUGUUCAAUAGCUAGGAACAAAUAGGAAAUAAUUACCUUCCAAAUUUAAAAAUGAAAAUGUUCCAAGCCUGACUUCAAAUUCCUUUUAUUUCUUAUCUUUGAAGUAUCUUUAUAAAACUAAAGCUAAUGAACAAGUGACCUUCUAAAACAAUCUACUAAAAAGACAAUCCCUCAAUAGGAAAUUAUUUUCUGAGACAAGGUCUGGCUCUAUCACCCGGGCUGCAGUGCAGGGGCACAAUCUCGUCUCACUGCAACCUCUGCCUCCCAGGCUCAAGCAGUCCUCCCACCGCAGCCUCCCGAGUAGCUGGAAUUACAGGCGUGUGCCACCACAUCCAGCUAAUUUUUGUAUGUUUUGUACAGACGGGAUUUUGCCAUGUUGCCCAGGCUGGUCUCGAACUCAUGAGCUCAACUGAUCCGCCUGCCUUGGCAUCCCAAAGUGCUGGCAUUACAGGUGCGAGCCACUGCGCCCAACCCCAUCAAGAGGAAACAUGUAUAUGUAGAUACACACAGAUAUAUAUACAUACACACAUAUAUACACAGAUACACACAGAUAUAUAUACACACAUAUAUACAAAUACAUGGAAAACACACAUACAAAAAAAUGGAAACAUAACCAACAAACUUUAAAACUGGGUACCACUAAAGGGAAAGGAGAAACAAGGGGACGAUGAAGAAAGAAGCUAGACUCCGAAUAUGUUUUAUAUAUUUGACGUCAGAAUGACAUAAAUACUUCACAAAACUUAAUGCAAAAUUAAAUUUAAAAAAAUUAAUCCCUAAACUUCAAAGAAAAAAUAAAGCAAACCUAACAGUAAGUCAAGUUAAUGAUAUAAACAUACAGAGGAGCCGGGUGCAGUGGCUCACGCCUGUAAUCCUAGCACUUUGGGAGGCUAAGGCAGGCGGAUCACUUGAGGCCAGGGGUUCGAGACCAGCGUGGCCAACAUGGUGAAACCCUGUCUCUACUACAAAUACAAAAAUUAGCUGGGUGUGGUGGCGGGUGCCUGUAAUCCCAGCUACUCGGGAGGCUGAGGCAGGAGAAUUGCUUGAACUCAGGAGGCGGAGGUUGCAGUGAGCCGAGAUAGUGCCAUUGCACUCCAGCCUAGGCGACAAGAGCGAAACUCCAUCUCAAAAAAAUAAACACACAGAGGAAAAACUAUUCAAAGCAACUUUAAAACCCAGUAAUUUGUAGCUGGACACAGUGGCGUGUACCUGUAGUCACAAGUGCUCGGGGGAUCACUUCAGCCUAGGAGUUCGAGGCUGUAGUGCGCUAUGAUCACACUGGUGAACAGUCACUGCACUCCAGCCUGGCCAGCACAGCAAGACCCCAGGUCAAACAACAACAACAACAACAAAAAGUAAUUUGAUUAUCUAGCCCAGUGGGAUAUACCUAUAGACAAAAAGAAUGACACAAAAAAUAAAAAAUAAACCUUUAAGUAAUCAUACUCUUGACAGUAGAUGCUGGCAUAAUUAUUUUGAGUCUGUUGUGUGUGUACUAUGAAUAGCAAGUGAAUAAUUAUGUGUCAGUGAGAACCAGAAUUUGGGGCAUAGUUGAAAGGAAAUAAAGAUGUAAUAUUGCCCUUAUUAAGUAAAAAUCCUUUCAAAAAAAUUUUUAGUCCUUCCUUUAUUCUUAAUUUAAUUUGGAUUCUCAGUAACAAAUCAUGAUUCAUUUUAUCUUUUAAAAAAAUCUUAGCCCAGUCCACUGAAAAAGCCUAGGAAAGAAUGGUCAGGUCAUCGUCAUGUAUAGCAAUACAUUCCCCAGCAUGCUGACCUCGGUGUCUAGAUCACAUUCUUCAGACACAGGAGCAGGGCUUCCUGGGGAAAUGGCUGAUGCCAGGCCCAGGGAGGAAAGGGGUGAAAUGAGCAUGGGGACUUUUGUCACAGCAAAAAGUGGAAAGGCUGUCACAGACAAUGAGGGGCCUACCAAAAGGACUCAAGAGUCCACCCUACUAGCCAAAGAGACCAUCUGAGCAUUAAGGAUAAUGCAGCAAUGAAAACAUCAGAUGUGUUUAAAUCCAUGUGUUCACGAUGAUGGACGACAAGCAGCAACAGAGACUCUCCCUGGUCAUCUCUGGAGGACCCCAGGGAACUGACCUAUGAAAAUUAUACCAGAGAGAGAGAGAGUCCAACGCUGAUCCUCUCUGUCCUCCAUGAUCUGUGACCCAGAAUGUGCUUUGGCUCCCUUGGUUGGAGAAGCCAGGUCAUUCGUCCUACAGAACCUGCCACACUGCACAUUUUGCUGAUUUCACCCUGCAACACAUUCAGUAAGCUCUGCUGUCCUCUGUAUUUACUGUGGGCUCAUAGUUAAAUUCUCCAAACUACCCAAUUCAAGAGUUGAAGGGGAAAGGUUUCUUUUUAACUAUUCCAGCAACUAAACAAAGAAGGAAGAAUAAAAUCAGGAUAUUCAUGCUUGUAAUCCCAGCACUUUGGGAGGCUGAGACUGGCGGAUCAUUUGAGGUCAGGAGUUUGAGACCAGCCUGGCCAACAUGGCGAAACCCCAUCUCUACUAAAAAUACAAAAAUUAGCCAGGCGUGGUGGCGGGCGCCUGUAGUCCCAGCUACUCAGGAGGCUGAGGCAGGAGAGUCGCUUGAGUCCAGGAGGUGGAGGUUGCAGUGAGCCGAGAUUGUGCCACUGCACUUCAACCUGGGUGACAGAGUGAGACUCUGUCUCAAAAAAAAAAAAAAAAAAUCAGGAUAUUACUGCUUGCAACUUCUAAUGAAUUAUGGAUCUUGGAAAUAAUCAUCCAUUUUUGACAAUAUCACAGAAUAGAAAAGAAUGUUAUAUCUUAUUUAAAAUUUUACUGAACUUACUUAGAGCCAAGAAAAAAUGUUAAUGUCACC
rnacentral:lncRNA from 1 species